CCUUCGUUUGAAAAACGCUUCCCUCAUUUAAAUUCUCCGGUUGUAAGUUCCUUGGAUGCUUCAAAACUCGAUAUCAUAUCUGCUUGAUGUACGUGGAACAUAAAAUACCUAAGCGGUAUCCUAUUACUGGUUACUCUUGAAGAAGACGCAAUCAUACCGGCAACAUCGUAGAACAGGAAUGAGUUAAAUUUAUGUUUGCAGUCGAAACUGCGAAACUGCUGUAAAAGUUGGAAACGAGAUGAGGGUAGAGUAGACCAGCAAUGUUUUCAUCUCCCGAUCCCUUGGGAUACGGUCCAAUUCCGACCCG